rnacentral:rRNA from 1 species
GAUGAACGCUGGCGGCGUGCCUAAUACAUGCAAGUCGAGCGAACAGACGAGGAGCUUGCUCCUCUGACGUUAGCGGCGGACGGGUGAGUAACACGUGGAUAACCUACCUAUAAGACUGGGAUAACUUCGGGAACCGGAGCUAAUACCGGAUAAUAUAUUUAACCGCAUGGGUCAAUAGUGAAAGACGGUUUUGCUGUCACUUAUAGAUUGAUCCGCGCCGCAUUAGCUAGUUGGUAAGGUAACGGCUUACCAAGGCAACGAUGCGUAGCCGACCUGAGAGGGUGAUCGGCCACACUGGAACUGAGACACGGUCCAGACUCCUACGGGAGGCAGCAGUAGGGAAUCUUCCGCAAUGGGCGAAAGCCUGACGGAGCAACGCCGCGUGAGUGAUGAAGGUCUUCGGAUCGUAAAACUCUGUUAUUAGGGAAGAACAAAUGUGUAAGUAACUAUGCACGUCUUGACGGUACCUAAUCAGAAAGCCACGGCUAACUACGUG